UAGAACCAGAUAGUGAGAGUGAAACUCGGUUCCAGGACAGUAAAAGCAACGAGAGGCAAGGCUGUAAGGGGCUAUGACAGAGUGACAGUAGGCUGUAAGCGGGAGUGCUCAUGAGCUUGGGUUGGCAUGGAUACCAUCUUAGUCUUCAGCCUAAUGAUUGCAUCCUAUGAUUCCAACAAGAACGACCUCAGAAAGAGCAGCUGCCAAGUGGAACAGCUGCCCAGCUUCUUCCCAGAGGAUGUGAGGAGCAACAAGGAUUUGGUAGUAAGAGUUCCUCUAGAAAUUCACACAGAUACCAAAGGGACCCCAUUCAUCCAAAAUCAGCCCAUAGCUACCCUGCGGUGUCUUGGCUCUGGAAGGAGAGUGACAGUCCAGCUUGUAUAUUCAGAGAGAAGGCCAAAGGUCAAGUACAUUAUGAAGAACCUGCCAGUCAUUACUGAUCUUCCUAGAAACAGCACUGCUUCCCCAAGAUGUCACCUCAGAGCCACAUCUCAGUUUCAGAAUGGAUCCCUUCUAACAGCUUUUUUACCAGGAAUCUCACAAUGCACGGUCUACUCAGCUAAGGACAGAUCUGCUUCAUCAGAGAUGGUGCCCAUCACUACCUCCUCCACAACUCCUAGAAGUAAAGAAGAUGAAGCCACAAGCACUGGGGCUUUUCCCAACCCUUUAACACAAGAAAUAGACAUGUCCUUAAAGAGGAGGCAGAAAUGGAGUCUUGUAGUCAAAGCUCUGAUUGCUGUUACUCUCCUGCUUGGUGGGGCGGCUAUUAUAGUGUUUGUCAUCUUUGAAGUCCCGUGCCCGAGUCAAUGCCUACGAGUCAGACAGCUGUGCCAAUGUCAAUGGUUAUGGAGAAGGAAAAGGAAGGAAGAAGACCAGAAACCUGGGACAACUGAAUCCCAGUUGGACUCUCAGCCUGAGAAGGUGAAACACAAUGUUCCUAACUCUUCAGACUCAAAGAAGACGAUAGACAUCGCUAUAAUCUACCAGACACACUUCUGAGCUGUGCUUCACCUGACUCUGAACACAAGCACUGUCUUCUAGACCACCAUCUCCUCAUUAAUGUUCCGUAACCGGGAAACGUGAGAUUUCCUAGAAGAUGAGAGCCAUGCUGGGUGCUCGUCAGUUCUGCUCUUCUGUGAGAGUGAGACCUGGGUGACACCUGUACUGACUUGCUUCGUGGAAAUUGACACGGUCCAAACUGUGCAUUCUGUUUGUGGGCAGUUGUCUUGGCAACAGCAAGACUCUUCCAAGCAUUUUCCCACUCCCUAAUCUGCUAGCCACUUUGAAUCCCUCCCCUAGCAGAGGGAGGAUUUGGAAACUAGGAGCUGAGGAGAGCAGAGGAGAAGAGGGCACUCCUGUGUGGACUUUGCAAUGUGGACUUCAGUCUGCAGAUUGCCCAGAGUCACACACAAAUGCUCCGGUCAUCAUUGUAGACACACUCUUAUAAAACACUCAAUGCAACUGCCAGCAAGUCCUCUGCAAAGUGCCAAAUUCCUGUUGCAAAUGGUUUCUCAUUAAAGUAUCUCAUCAAA